UACUGACACUGAGGUGCGAAAGCGUGGGGAGCAAACAGGACUAGAUACCCUGGUAGUCCACGCUGUAAACGAUGAGUGCUAAAUGUGAGGAUUUUAUCUUUGUAUUGUAGCUAACGCGUUAAGCACUCCGCCUGGGGACUACGGUCGCAAGACUAAAACUCAAAGGAAUUGACGGGGACCCGCACAAGCGGUGGAGCAUGUGGUUUAAUUCGAUGCUACGCGAAAAACCUUACCACUUUUUGACAUGAAGGUCGUAUCCCUCUUAACAGGGGGAGUCAGUUCGGCUGGACCUUACACAGGUGCUGCAUGGUUGUCGUCAGCUCGUGUCGUGAGAUGUUGGGUUAAGUCCCGCAACGAGCGCAACCCUCAUCCUUAGUUACCAACAGGUAAUGCUGGGCACUCUAGGGAAACUGCCAGUGAUAAACUGGAGGAAGGUGGGGAUGAUGUCAAAUCAGCACGGCCCUUGUAAGGUGGGCUACACACGUGCUACAAUGGCAACUACAAUAGGUUGCGAGACCGCAAGGUUUAGCUAAUCCAUAAAAGUUGUCUCAGUUCGGAUUGUUCUCUGCAACUCGAGAGCAUGAAGUCGGAAUCGCUAGUAAUCGUGGAUCAUCACGCCACGGUGAAUACGUUCUCGGGUCUUGUACACACUGCCCGUCACGCCAUGGGAAUUGGCUUAACUCGAAGCUGGUGUGCUA
rnacentral:rRNA from 1 species